rnacentral:rRNA from 1 species
AACGAACGCUGGCGGCAUGCCUAACACAUGCAAGUCGAACGAGACGGUCGGGUCUAUUGGCGCACGGGGAGGUAAGGCGGGGUAACCUGCCCGUGGGUUCGGUAUAACUCCCCGAAAGGUGUGCUAAGACCGGAUAAUGUCAUCGGACCAAAGAUUUUUGGCCGUUGGAUGGGCCCGCGUUGGAUUGGUCGGUUGGUAGGGUAAAAGCCUACCAAGGCGACGUUGCAGAGCUGGUCUGAGAACAUGACCAACUAGACUGGGACUGAGACACGGCCCAGUCUGCUACGGGAGGCAGCAGUGGAGUGUACUGUACAAUGGGCGAAAGCCUGAUAACGCAAUGCGGCGUAAGUGAUGAAGGCGUUAGGGUUGUAAAGCUCUUUUAGCCGAGAUGAUAGUGACAGUACCGGGUGAAUAAGCACCGGCUAACUACGUG